UACGUAGGGGGCUAGCGUUGUCCGGAAUCAUUGGGCGUAAAGAGCGUGUAGGCGGUCCGGUAAGUCCGCUGUGAAAGUCGGGGGCUCAACCCUCGAAUGCCGGUGGAUACUGUCGGGCUAGAGUGCGGAAGAGGCGAGUGGAAUUCCUGGUGUAGCGGUGAAAUGCGUAGAUAUUGGGAGGAACACCAGUGGCGAAGGCGGCUCACUGGACCGGUACUGACGCUGAUGCGCGAAAGCGUGGGGAGCAAACGGG
rnacentral:rRNA from 1 species